AUAGGGUGUGACCACCCACACCACCUGGCCAGGAUCUGCUGCAGCCAUUCCUCACGACGACCUCACCCAGGUUCACCACCACCAGGAGGUGAUCCUGGUGCAGGCAUGCCAGGAGGUGGUGGGUAGCGACGACUUGGAUGGGGAACCAGAUACUCAUCCUGGUGCCAGAGCUGGCCAGCGGCGACCACCACCACCACCUCGAGCAGGCCCUGGUCACCAUCGUGGGGGCUGGCAAGGGUGGAUGUGGCACCAUCUUGGGCAACAAGAAGUGGGGGCAGAAGCGAGUGCAGAUCAGGAACCUGGAGGGCAAGUUAUCUGUCUCCAUGUGGUACUCGGAUGAAAACAAAAAGACAUUAACCAUAAAAUAGUGGUUGAGAAACAGAUCACUGGAGAGAACUCACCUCCUGAUUAUUCAGAGUAUAUGACAGGAAAGAAACUUCCUCCUUGGAGGAAUACCUGGCAUUGACAGCUCAGAUCCCAAAAAACUGCAGAAUUCGCCAGAAUGAAGCCAAGAAAAAUUUAAAAGAUGAUGUUCCAUGAACAAUAGCUGGCCCUCGCCAAGGCUGCACAAAGAUGUUCAAGGAUAACUGACAUGAGAAAACAUCUGCACACUCACUGUCACGGAGUCCACUUCUGCACAGAAUGUAGAAGAGCUUUUGUUGAGAGCUCAAAACAAAAACCACACAAACUGGUUCACACUGGAGAGAAGCUGUUUCAGUUCACGUUUGAAGACCGUGGGAAAUGCUUUUCACUGGACUUCAAUUUCCACACACAUGAAUUUUAAAAAGGCUUUAAAAGAUGCUUUAUCUUGCUCUCUAAUCUUGUUUCAAAAACAUGGUUUUUUUGUAAAGUGUGUUCCCAACAGGACAACUCGUAGAUGCAAAAGACAAUUCUUUAUACAACAGUGCUAAAAAUGGGACUUCUGUUUACAUUCUUGCAAGUAUGAAGCUCAUUUGUUGCUUAUAAUUUUUUAAAUUUUUUAUUUUCUAAGUGUGCAUAUUGUACACUUUUUGAAGAUAUGCUUAGUAAUGCUAUGUGUGAUUUUUCUGGAGGUUGAUAAUUUUGCUUGCAAUAGAUUUUCUUUGAAAGAAUGGGCAGUUACAUGCAUGCUUCAAAAAUAUUUUCCUGUAAAAAAAGUUAUAUAGGAUUUGUUUGCUAUAUGAAUUUUGGUUAUAUUCUUUGAUGUUAACACAUUUUGUAUAAUUGUAUCAUAUAGCUGUAUAGAGUCAUGUAGUAUCAAAUAUUAGAUGUGAUUUAAUAGUGUUCAUUUAAAUCCAUUUUAGUCACGUUUUUCCCAAAAAAUACUGCCAGAUGCUGAUGUUCAGUGUAAUUUCUUUGCCUGUUCAGUUUCUGAAAGUGGCACUCAGUUAUAGAAAUGUUGUACCUUUUAAAACCUGUUGUGCACAUUCCAUGUAACAAAAAGGGCAACAAUAAAAUAGCCAUCCUAAAGAAAGAAUAUGGCAGAACAAGCUCUGUAAGCACAGUCUUAUUUUCUUUUGUUGUCCAGAAUACUUAUAAUUCUUGAGUCUCCCAGAAAUUGGAAGCUAAAUAAAGCAUCUUCUUUCCUUUAUUUUGAACUCAGUUACAAUGAUUUGUUAUUAAAGUGAUGCAUAGAUAUUUCAAUACUAAAAAUAAUUAUAUAGUAUGUACCCUUGUAUCAAGUUUUGUUUACUGUACAGAAUGCUUUUGAGAUACAGCUAGACUAUUGUAUUUAUGCAUAGGUUUUUAUUUAUUUAUUUAUUUAUUUAUUUAUUUUACUAGUUUUGUUUUGCCAUUCAUGACUUGAUGGGUAUUUGGGUUGUACCCAAUUUGGGGCUGUUAUGAAUAAAGUUGCUAUAAAUACUUAUGUAU